rnacentral:rRNA from 1 species
AUACGUAGGUGGCGAGCGUUGUCCGGAAUUACUGGGCGUAAAGAGCUCGUAGGUGGUUUGUCGCGUCGUCUGUGAAAUUCCGGGGCUUAACUCCGGGCGUGCAGGCGAUACGGGCAUAACUUGAGUACUGUAGGGGAGACUGGAAUUCCUGGUGUAGCGGUGAAAUGCGCAGAUAUCAGGAGGAACACCGGUAGCGAAGGCGGGUCUCUGGGCAGUAACUGACGCUGAGGAGCGAAAGCAUGGGUAGCGAACAGGAUUAGAUACCCUGGUAGUCCAUGCCGUAAACGGUGGGCGCUAGGUGUAGGGGUCUUCCACGACUUCUGUGCCGUAGCUAACGCAUUAAGCGCCCCGCCUGGGGAGUACGGCCGCAAGGCUAAAACUCAAAGGAAUUGACGGGG